UCAAGACUCAGUUUUAACUAACAAACAUAAAGUAAAGAAACAAAAAUUGCUCAAGGAGGAAAAAUAUAUUGCUCAUUAUGAUGUAGCAGAUGAAAUGCACAUGCCUCAGGUUCAAGACUCGUUAUCAGUGACAGAUGUGCCAUUGAAGAAACAGGAGCCAUCUGAAG